rnacentral:rRNA from 1 species
GAACGAGUUGGAAAGCUCAGCCGGAGACUGUGAUAGCCAGGUAUGCGAAAACGACGCUGACCUUAUUCUGUAUUCUCGAGUAGGUCGGGGCACGAGAAACCCUGAUUGAAUCCGGCUGGACCACCAGCCAAGGCUAAAUAUAGUAUAUGAUCGAUAGUGAACUAGUACGGUGACGGAAAGGUGAAAAGAACCCCGGGAGGGGAGUGAAAUAGAACCUGAAAUUUUGUGCCUACAAGGAGUCGGAGCCCAGCACCUUUGAAAUCGAGUGGUACAAUGUAGGCGGAUGUUCUACGUGUACGUUUUGCAAAGUGAUCGGGAAUCAGAUCAAAUUUACUUCGGUCAGACUAGUGACUUAAGACGACGUCUCUCGGAGCAUAAUUCUGGCAAGGAUACUUAUACCAAGAUAUAUGCGCCAUGGAAGGUUGUCUAUUAUGAAGCCUAUUCAUCACGUAAGCUAGCAAUGGCCCGUGAGAGGCAGUUGAAAGCUUAUGGACAAGCCAGGACUGCUCUAAAGAAGAGACUAAAUUUGAUCUGAUACUCGAUUUCAAAGGUGCUGGGUGACGGCGUGCUUUUUGUAGAACGAUCCAGCGAGUUAAUUUUUACGGCGAGGUUAAGUCAGAUGAUGAAGCCAUAGUGAAAGCGAGCAUUAACAGUGCGAUUUAGUCGUAAGGAUUAGACCCGAAACCAGGUGACCUAACCAUGAGCAGGUUGAAGCAACCUUAAUCGGUUGUGGAGGACCGAACCAGUGUAUAUUGCAAAAUGCUUGGAUGACUUGUGGUUAGCGGUGAAAUGCCAAUCGAACUUGGAGAUAGCUGGUUCUCCGCGAAAUAGUUAUAGGACUAGCGUCGUGUGAUAGCUUACGGGGGUAGAGCUCUGUCAAGAGAUAGGGGGAGCAAUCCUACCUACUCUUAAUAAACUACGAAUACCGUAUGUCUGUAUCACGGCAGUUAGAACGUCGGUGCUAAGAUCGGCGCUCAAAAGGGAAACAGCCCAGACCAUCAUCUAAGGUCCCCAAAUUUACGCUAAGUGGGAAACAAGGUGGAAUUUCUUAAACAGCUAGGAUGUUGGCUUAGAAGCAGCCAUUCAUUUAAAGAGUGCGUAACAGCUCACUAGUCAAGAGAUUCUGCGUGGAAGAUAUAACGGGGCUAAGCGUAAUACCGAAGAUAUGGAUUGCAAUUUAUUGCAGUGGUAGCGGAGCGUUCCUAUCGGCAGUGAAGCCGGACUGUUAAGUACCGGUGGAGCGUUAGGAAGUGAGAAUGCUGGAACGAGUAACCAUAAGACAGGUGAGAAUCCUGUCGGCCGAAAGAGCGAGGUUUCCUGGGCUAUGGUAAUCAUCCCAGGGUUAGUCGGGCCUAAGCCGAGGCGUUUAGCGUAGGCGAUGGACAUCAGGUUAAUAUUCCUGAACUAGUCAAACUUUGUAUACAGUUAGCGAUGAGAUAGGUGGAGCGGAUUCAUGGUUUAUCCGUUCAAGUGAUAGAGGAAUCUUGAUCGAGUAAAAGUGAACCUACGGGUUUACGAUUCCGCUGAAGGCAUUGACCAGAAAAGCUGGCAUACGCAUGGGUUUGGCUACCCGUACCGCAAACCGACACAGGUGCUCGAGUCGAGGAGACUAAGGCUUACGAGAGAAUGAUUGCUAAGGAACUCGGCAAUACAGCGACCGUAACUUCGGAAUAAGGUCUGCCUACAUUUGUAGGCCGCAGCUAAAGAGCCCACGGAACUGUUUAUCAAAAACUCAGGUCUCUGCUAACACGAAAGUGGAUGUAUAGGGGCUGAAACCUGCCCGGUGCCGGAAGGUUAAGGGGAUUGCUUCACGGCGAGAACUGAAGCCCCGGUGAACGGCGGCGGUAACUAUAACCGUCCUAAGGUAGCGAAAUUCCUUGUCAGGUAAGUUCUGACCCGCACGAAUGGUUAAAUCAUGUGGGCACUGUCUCAGCAAUUAUCUCGGUGAAAAUGCAUUGGCGGUAAAGAUGCCGUCUGUCCGCACCAGGACGAAAAGACCCCGUGGAGCUUCACUACAGCUUUACAUUGUUGUGGGUUCUAACUUGUGUAGUAUAGGUGGGAGACUUUGAAGCAGAUACGCUAGUAUUUGUGGAGUCAUCAGUGAAAUACCACCCCCGUUAGGAUCUGCAUCUAACCUGUGCCGUUAUCCGGUAUAGGGACCGUGUAUGGUUGGUAGUUUAACUGGGGCGGUUGCCUCCUAAAGAGUAGCGGAGGCGUUCAAAGGUU